rnacentral:rRNA from 1 species
AUUGAACGCUGGCGGCAGGCCUAACACAUGCAAGUCGAGCGGAGCGGCGGACGGGUGAGGAAUGCCUAGGAAUCUGCCUGGUAGUGGGGGAUAACGUCCGGAAACGGGCGCUAAUACCGCAUACUAUCAGAUGAGCCUAGGUCGGAUUAGCUAGUUGGGGGGGUAAAGGCCUACCAAGGCGAAGAUCCGUAACUGGUCUGAGAGGAUGAUCAGUCACACUGGAACUGAGACACGGUCCAGACUCCUACGGGAGGCAGCAGUGGGGAAUAUUGGACAAUGGGCGAAAGCCUGAUCCAGCCAUGCCGCGUGUGUGAAGAAGGUCUUCGGAUUGUAAAGCACUUUUGGCAGGAAAGCGGUACCUGCAGAAUAAGCACCGGCUAACUACGUGCCAGCCGCCGCGGUAAUAC